rnacentral:pre_miRNA from 1 species
GGUGGGGGAGCUGAACUCAAACAUCACUGCAGCUGUAUGCUCUUAGCUAAAUAAUUGAUUAAUCAACAGCCGCAGACUGCUGUAGUGAUGUUUAGAGUUCAGCUCCCGGUCC